ensembl:lncRNA
CUGGAGUCCCAGAAACAGCAAACUUCUUAUUGCUGCUCCUCUAGCCCCUUGUCAUAAACUAAAGAGCGACCCUUCAAAUUAAUUCCUCUAUGAAUCCCAAUUGGUUUAACUCAGCGCCACAAGAAUGCUUGUAUUGAGGACCUAAGCCAUUUCAUGGUAUGGGAUGGUAUUUUUCUCAAAGCAGAUAUACAGCACUGCUAUUUCUUCUUCAUGCAGACAAGCAGCAGGUACCAAAUAAAGAACACUUGUUUCCCAUUUUGCAGUUACCCCAAUGGCUGUCACUUUUUGUGACAUGUCUAUCACUUUUUGUGACAAUGUCUAUCGCUUUUUAAAACACAAACUACCCUUUUCCUCCAGAAGCUUCUGGUGUGCAUAGUCUAUCAAAAAUAAUGAAUCUUAAGGACUAAUUACUGUGUCAUUCAUGAAUCUCGUCCUGAGAUUCCCUUAGAGCAAGCUGAGUUUGGAGGUAAGGGGUUCUGGGCGAGGUGUGUGCAUAAUAACCAAGCACUAUGGAUAUUGAAGCCUCGGACGUGCCCUUGUCCUGAGUCCGUCACAGAGAAGUAGGUUCUGAUGCACAGAAUGGUGUUACAACCCAAAGCUCUGUUUUCCCUCUGGAUACAGAAGGUACAGUAGAAUAUUGCCAUUUCAUUCUGUUGCUGCUGUCUUACUUUCAUGAAGAUAGAGUGUAAAUUUAAGCACAAAAUGACUUUUUAGUCCUAGUUGUUUCCAAGUCUUGCACUGUAUUCUCUAACAAAACAAUCCUCCUUUUCUUUAGGUAGCUUUUCCAUUUUACCAAUUUCUACAAUACCCUCUCCCCUUACAGGAUGAAUUAAAGAACAGAAAAUCAUGUACGUUUUUGGCACACUGGAUUUGGGCAAGAGCCUGGAAAUCCCAGAAUUGUCUAUUUCCUGUUUGCAUGCAGUCAAAACAACGGUGUUCAGUUCUUUUCCUAAUCCGAGCCUCAAGCUUGCCUGUUGUCAGGCAAGUAAACUUUUUCCUAACGCUUACAGCUUGAGUUUUCAAAGAAGCCAAAUUUCUGCAGCUUCCACUGACCACCCUGGAGCUGUGAGUCCUGCAGUCAAGAAGUCAGCUUCUUAGCUUUGUCCUCUAAACAAAACCAAAACCCCUGAAUAUGUGGGGUGUUCAUUUUGCUGCACAAUGUAGUCCUUAAAAAUGGAAUGUUUAAGAAAAGUAUGGAAAAUAGUAAGUACCCUGGAAUAAAGGGAAAAACCGGUAGUGCCAGUCACAGCUCUGAGGCUUCUUUAGCUCCCUACUUCAAAUUUGUGGAUCACUGUCUCUACCUCCCAAUCACAUAUUCCCACCCAGUUUUUUACAAGAUUUGAAUGUUGAGUGUCUGGGUUCUGAAAAGUGAGAAUAAUUACAUGCUCCCUGUAAUACCAUCCUUUAAGGUUAAUGGUCUACCCUAUGCUAAUUUACAUCUAAGCAAAGCCCUGCUGGGCUGUCUUUCAUGUCCAUGUUUUUAAGGGGACAAAUAAGAAACAGGCUUCUUGUUACCAGAGCAAUAUGAAAGCGAGCUCUUGAUCCACACUGUAGUUCGGAGAUCUGUUCACCCUGAUAAGACAUCCCUUUCCAACUCCUUGAAUGUUGAGAAACAGUCUUCUGACUCAAGAGUUUGAGUUGCCAUCCAAAGAGGAAAACCGAGCUCUUUUGCAGGUUAUGUGCAUAUAAGUGUAGCAGAAAUGAUAAGCACUAGCUGCUUUGGCUGUCAGCCCCUUCUAACGAACUGCUCUGGAAUUGCCCAGGAAAGUUGGGAACCAUCAAAGUCAAAGGAGACAGCCUGACUUGUUAUGGUGAAUUGUUGCCUUUAAUCCUAAUCGCUUGGUGGAGGUUGGAUUUGAAUUCUGCCUUUAUUCUUGCUUUGUCUAAAAAUGUCAGAUUAUUUUUCCUCCAAAAUAAUGAAAGGGCAAAAGUCUACCUUCUGAUAUGGAAACCUUCUGCCUCUGACCUGGAAUCCUGCAUAUGUACUUUUUACAGAUUAAAAAUAAUAUUGUAUAUAAAAAAAGAUUGAAUAAAGAAUGUCUUUAAGUGAAAAA